rnacentral:rRNA from 1 species
GGUUGAUCCUGCCAGUAGUCAUAUGCUUGUCUCAAAGAUUAAGCCAUGCAUGUCUCAGUGUAAACUUUUAAACGGUGAAACUGCGAAUGGCUCAUUAAAACAGUUAUAGUUUAUUUGAUAAUCACUCUUACAUGGAUAACCGUGGUAAUUCUAGGGCUAAUACAUGCGUAAACCCCUCACGGGGUGUGUUUAUUAGAUUUUAAGCCAACUCUGGGCAACCAGAUAUAUUGGAAUGAUAAUAACCGAACGAAUCGCACUUCGUAGUCGCGAUAGAUCAUUCGAGUUUCUGAC